AGAGAGGCCACAUGAUGUGGCCUAAGGUGGAUACAGGGGCAGCUGUGGCACAGGAGGAGAGAAGAGAUAAGGAGACAUUUCUCUGGAUGGGCAACUGUAGGGCCAAGAGAAUGCUCUUCAUAGAUGACUUCAACUAUAAAGACUGAAAAUUGACCAAAGGCCUUAGCUGCUGCUUUCUGGAAUCCAUCAGCUCACAGUUUAAGGCCAGCUUCCCACGGGGCUCCUCUCAUCCAAUGACCAUACUCAGCAGAGAUCCUGAGCCACCAGGAAUGAAUUCUGAGCUCACGUUCUGGACCGCUGCCAGGAAGAAGGAAGCGGCGUUAGUAUAAAGAAUCACACAAAAGGCCGCAGGCAGUUGCCACCUCAUUCUACAUACACACCGGAAGCUACUUCUUUGAGAGGCCCCAAGUUCAAAGGAAAAGCUCUCUUUCCUUUGGGGAGCCUUCUGGGGACAGUUCCCCCACCUGACCCAGGACACUAGAGGAAGAGGAAGACAGCAACAGAUGUGAGGAGGAGAAGGACCCCUCCCUGCCCAGUGCUCAGGUGCCUCUGCUCCCUAACCAAUUGAUGUUUCUG